AUUGAACGCUGGCGGCAGGCCUAACACAUGCAAGUCGAGCGAGCGGCGGACGGGUGAGUAAUGUCUGGGAAACUGCCUGAUGUAGGGGGAUAACUACUGGAAACGGUAGCUAAUACCGCAUACCCUCAGAUGUGCCCAGAUGGGAUUAGCUCGUAGGUGGGGUAACGGCUCACCAAGGAGACGAUCCCUAGCUGGGCUGAGAGGAUGACCAGCAACACUGGAACUGAGACACGGUCCAGACGCCUACGGGAGGCAGCAGUGGGGAAUAUUGCACAAUGGGCGCAAGCCUGAUGCAGCCAUGCCGCGUGUGUGAAGAAGGCCUUCGGGUUGUAAAGCACUUUCAGCGGGGAGGCGUUACCCGCAGAAGAAGCACCGGCUAACUCCGUGCCAGCAGCCGCGGUAAUAC
rnacentral:rRNA from 1 species